CCUACGGUGCGCAGCAGUCGAGAAUCAUUCACAAUGGGGGAAACCCUGAUGGUGCGACGCCGCGUGGGGGAAUGAAGGUCUUCGGAUUGUAAACCCCUGUCAUGUGGGAGCAAAUUAAAAAGAUAGUACCACAAGAGGAAGAGACGGCUAACUCUGUGCCAGCAGCCGCGGUAAUACAGAGGUCUCAAGCGUUGUUCGGAAUCACUGGGCGUAAAGCGUGCGUAGGCUGUUUCGUAAGUCGUGUGUGAAAGGCGCGGGCUCAACCCGCGGACGGCACAUGAUACUGCGAGACUAGAGUAAUGGAGGGGGAACCGGAAUUCUCGGUGUAGCAGUGAAAUGCGUAGAUAUCGAGAGGAACACUCGUGGCGAAGGUGGGUUCCUGGACAUUAACUGACGCUGAGGCACGAAGGCCAGGGGAGCGAAAGGGAUUAGAUACCCCAGUAGUC
rnacentral:rRNA from 1 species